GUGCUUGUGGUGUAGUGGUUAUCACAUCCGCCUAACACGCGGAAGGUCCCAGGUUCGAUCCCUGGCCGGCACA
rnacentral:tRNA from 1 species